rnacentral:rRNA from 1 species
GACGAACGCUGGCGGCGUGCCUAAUACAUGCAAGUCGAACGAACCGCGACUAGGUGCUUGCGCAUGGUCAAGGGGAGUGGCGAACGGUGGAUAAACACGUGGGUAACCGACCGCAAUAAGGUGGAUAACAGGCGGAAACUACUGCUAAUACCGCAUGGGAGAUAGGAGCGCAUGAUCGAGCGAGGCAAGGUGGCGCAAGCCAUCGCCAAGAGAUGGACCCGCGGUGCAUUAGCUAGUUGGUAGGGUAAAGGCCUACCAAGGCGAUGAGGCAUAGCCGACCUGAGAGGGUGAUCGGCCACACUGGAACUGAGACACGGCCCAGACUCCUACGGGAGGCAGCAGUAGGGAAUCUUCCGCAAUGGGCGCAAGUCUGACGCAGCCACGCCGCGUGAGUGAAGAAGGUCUUCGGAUCGUAAAGCACUGUUGUUAGGGAAGAACAGCGCAUAGAGUAACUGUUAUGCGUGUGACGGUAUCUACCCAGAAAGCCACGGCUAACUACGUG